GACGAACGCUGGCGGCGUGCUUAACACAUGCAAGUCGAACGGAAAGGCCCUGCUUUUGUGGGGUGCUCGAGUGGCGAACGGGUUAGUAACACGUGAGUAACCUGCACUUGACUUUGGGAUAACUUCAGGAAACUGGGGCUAAUACCGGAUAGGAGCUCCUGCUGCAUGGUGGGGGUUGGAAAGUUUCGGCGGUUGGGGAUGGACUCGCGGCUUAUCAGCUUGUUGGUGGGGUAGUGGCUUACCAAGGCUUUGACGGGUAGCCGGCCUGAGAGGGUGACCGGCCACAUUGGGACUGAGAUACGGCCCAGACUCCUACGGGAGGCAGCAGUGGGGAAUAUUGCACAAUGGGCGGAAGCCUGAUGCAGCAACGCCGCGUGCGGGAUGACGGCCUUCGGGUUGUAAACCGCUUUCGCCUGUGACGAAGAGUGAGUGACGGUAAUGGGUAAAGAAGCACCGGCUAACUACGUG
rnacentral:rRNA from 1 species